UACGUAGGGGGCAAGCGUUGUCCGGAUUUAUUGGGCGUAAAGAGCGUGUAGGCGGCCUGAAAGGUCAGCUGUGAAAACUCGAGGCUCAACCUCGAGACGUCGGUUGAAACCAUCUGGCUAGAGUCCGGAAGAGGAGUGUGGAAUUCCCGGUGUAGCGGUGAAAUGCGCAGAUAUCGGGAAGAACACCAACGGCGAAAGCACUCUGCUGGGCCGACACUGACACUGAGAGACGAAAGCUAGGGGAGCGAAUGGG
rnacentral:rRNA from 1 species